CUGCCAUUUUUAAGAGGACAAUAUUUUUCUACCUUGGAAGGCUAUUGCAAGAGAGAAUUAACAUAAUUUCUGAAGGCCUUUGUAAUUUGAAGUUAUCCUUAAAUCAUUCCUUUCAACCACUCUGGUCUCCGCGUGUCCUUGUCGGAGUUAGAUUUGAGUCCAAUCUCUCUCCUCUAGUGCAAGAUCCCAUUGCAGUCAUCCCUAAAGCUAUCUCCAUGGCCCCACCUCAGUAAAGCUUGCCUUACCAUCUUUAACAA